GAUGAACGCUAGCUACAGGCUUAACACAUGCAAGUCGAGGGACCGGCGCACGGGUGAGUAACACGUAUCCAACCUGCCCUUUACUCGGGGAUAGCCUUUCGAAAGCAAGAUUAAUACCCGAUGUUAAGGAUGGGGAUGCGUUCCAUUAGGUUGUUGGUGAGGUAACGGCUCACCAAGCAUUCGAUGGAUAGGGGUUCUGAGAGGAAGGUCCCCUACAUCGGAGCUGAGACACGGUCCAAACUCCUACGGGAGGCAGCAGUGAGGAAUAUUGGGCAAGUGGCGUGAGCCUGAACCAGCCAAGUAGCGGGAAGGAGGAAGGCUUAUGGGUCGUAAACUUCUUGGAUAGAAGAAUAGGUAUUAGAUGAAUAAGGAUCGGCUAACUCCGUACCAGCAGCCGCGGUAAUUC
rnacentral:rRNA from 1 species